CCGGCCGUUGGCGGUGUCAGUUUAUCAUUGCUGCCAACUUUGCCGUAGAGGCUUCGCUGGAGACUCACAGAAACAAAGGCGUUUCCGUCAAUUGUUGAAGAAGUAGAAGGUGACCUUUGUGAUGCACAUAAAUUUCAGCCGCUGUUCCGUUCUGGUGCUGUUCGAAUUGGGGAUUUUACUCUACAGGCUGUCUCUUAGUCGAUUUGUGAUUCCAUCUUAACUUACCAG
rnacentral:lncRNA from 1 species